rnacentral:rRNA from 1 species
UACGUAGGGGGCAAGCGUUGUCCGGAAUUAUUGGGCGUAAAGCGCGCGCAGGCGGUUAUUUAAGGCUGGUGUUUAAACCUUGGGCUCAACCUGGGGUCGCACUGGAAACUGGGUAACUUGAGUACAGAAGAGGAAAGUGGAAUUCCACGUGUAGCGGUGAAAUGCGUAGAGAUCCGGAGGAACACCAAAGGCGAAGGCAGUGUCCUGGGGAGUACCUGACGCUCAGGUGCGAAAGCCAGGGGAGCGAACGGG